GCUACAUGACUGACUCAUAAUAAAAACCUAGGACACCAAGGUUCUAGUGAGCAUCUCUGGUUGAUAAUACAUCUCAAAUGUUGUCACACAUUGUUCCUAGCAGAACUAAGUGCUGUCUAUGCAACUCUAAUAGGAGAGGGUAACUGGAUGCUUGUGCCUGGUUUCUCCUGGACUUUGUCCUAUGCAUCUUUUGCUUUUGCUGAUUUUAAUCUGUAUCCUUUCACUGUGAUAAAUUGCAACUGUGAAUAUAAGAGCUUUUCCGAAUUCUGUGAGUUCUAGUAAAUCAUUGAACCUAAGAGUAUCUUGGAAUCUCAUGAAACAAAAGAUGAAUAAAAGUUAAUAAACAGAAAAAAUUGUCCAGUAGAAUUAUGAGAUAUAAAUGUUAUAAUAAUAUAUCAAACAUUUAUUGUUACGAUUUACAAUAAUUUUCCAUAAUUUAUUUGUUAUAGGAAUUCAAAGGAGUGAGAAUCACUUCAAACUAUAAAGAUUGAGCAAGGUUUUAUUUAAGAAGAGUCAGGAUGUUAACUGGAUCUCAAAGGGCUUGGGAGAGGAAAGAAGACAGAAAAAAGUAAGGAAAAUGCAACCCAGGGUCAGCGGCAGUAAGCAGAACACCUUGGCUGAAGUAUGAAUUUGAGGAAGGAUUAUAUUGUGAACCGUACCUCAUAUGUCCUAGAGGUACUCUUUUGGUGUUCUGGGAUCCAAAUGUCUAGUGUUUGGAGAAGGGAGUUCCCUACACCUUCAACAGGCAAUACUCAGACACUGCAAGUAGCUAUCUCCUGAAUCACUGCCCAGUUGCCAGCUGCAAGUCCUAGCUCCACAGACAUAAAUGUCCACAGCACAAAGCCAAAAGAAUCUCUUAAGGGUGAUGCUGUCAGGCAAUAGCAGAAGGAGUUGGUGUUCUGGAGUCAGACACAGUUCACACGAGCUUUGAGAUUAAUUUCAUUGACACAAAGAGAGAAGGCAUUGCUGACUGCCAACAGGUAAGCAUACAUACAAUUUUUUUUUUAGUCCUGUAAAAAAGAUUGAGGAGUUUGAUUUGCUUUCUCAGUUUCAAUCUUAAAAUUCAUGUUGCCUUCUAAAGAGUUCAUUUAUCUUUUUCAUGUGAAGAUAUAGAAAAUGUCUGCUUAGAUGGGUGCUUUGGGCAUCUGGGUGCAAAAUCGGAGGAGAAGGGUCAAUCUGUAGGAGAGUUGGUUGUUUAAGAGUAGCUCAUGUAUUUCCUCCAUGAAAAGUCCUAUUAGCACAGUGUAUUGGGGGGAUUAUAAGAGACAGUCACACAGCAGUGGGGUGUUAUGGUGGGAGAGAAAAGAACAUUAUUGGGUUUCAGGAAAAUACAAAAAAUUCUAGAAGACAACCUGGUAUAGGAUACAUUUUUAUGGUAUAACGACUUAGAUGUAUAGUUGAGAAGGAAAGAAAAUUGUCCCGUUUAUUUUGCCAUAAUUGGCAAUUAGACAAAAUUUGUAGAAAUCUGCUUCCAAACCCUAUUGCAAUCUGAUGGUGAGUGGGAUUCUACAGCUUCUAAAAAGCUGAUUGGGCAAUUUUCACAAUGUGUAAGAAUCUCUGCAGAAUUUCCUCUACUAUUCCUUUUGUGACUAAGAAAGAGGGGGAAGAGAGGAAAGUGAUGGAUGGGACAAUCCAAGUAGAAAACAUAAUUGCCUUUGAAGUUUUGUUUAAUUCAGCAAACUGGUCUCUAAAUUUCUGAGCUUACUAUGGAAACUUUUGUUGGUCAUCAAAUUUUUAUUUUUCCCUAUUGCUUGCUCAGUUGUUUUUAUUUAUGUGUGUGUUUUUUAGAUUACUAUCUGCUUUAAAUCUUAUUGUUAAA
ensembl:lncRNA